GUAGUCUCGCACAGAUGCAUAUCAAUAAGCGGAGGAAAAGAAACUAACAAGGAUUCCCCUAGUAACGGCGAGUGAAGCGGGAAGAGCUCAAAUUUGAAAUCUUAAAGGGUUUCCCUUUACGAAUUGUAGUUUAAAGAAGUGUUUUCUGUUGAGGUUUUGGUAAAAGUUCUUUGGAAUAGGACAUCAUAGAGGGUGAGAAUCCCGUAUUUGACCUUUACUUUCAACUUUGUGAUACACUUUCAAAGAGUCGGAUUGUUUGGGAAUGCAGUCCAAAAUGGGUGGUAAAUUUCAUCUAAAGCUAAAUAUUGGCGAGAGACCGCUAGCGAACAAGUACCGUGAGGGAAAGAUGAAAAGAACUUUGAAAAGAGAGUUAAACAGUACGUGAAAUUGUCAAAAGGGAAGCGUUUGACACCAGUGUUGUUUUUCUGAAAAUCAAUUAAAGAACUGUUUAUGCUAAGCUGUUUAGACUUUAUCAGCUAUCUGUUUAGUUUUGAGCUUUUCUUUAAUGCACUUUUCAGUUAACAAGUCAACAUCAAUUUCUUUUGCUGUAAAAAAGCUUGAGGAAGGUGGCUUGAGAUUCGUCUUAAGUGUUUAUAGCCUCUUGCCUAUGCAGUCGGAGAGAUUGAGGUCUGCAGCGUAGAUCCUUCGGGGCUAAAUGCAUUUGUGCUAAGUUAUAGCAUUUUAUAGACAACUUGUUGACUAUGAUUUGUCUUGUAGCUUACUCGCUUAUGUUAUUUUACCUACGCUUAGGAUGUUGAUAUCGCGCUCUCACUG
rnacentral:rRNA from 1 species